rnacentral:tRNA from 1 species
CGCGAGGUAGAGCAGUUGGCAGCUCGUCGGGCUCAUAACCCGGAGGCCGCAGGUCCGAGUCCUGCCCUCGCUA